rnacentral:rRNA from 1 species
AUUGAACGCUGGCGGCAUGCUUUACACAUGCAAGUCGAACGGUAGAGGGGGCAACCCCUUGAGAGUGGCGAACGGGUGAGUAAUGCAUCGGAACGUGCCCAGUCGUGGGGGAUAACGCAGCGAAAGCUGUGCUAAUACCGCAUACGAUCUCUGGAUGAAAGCGGGGGACCGAAAGGCCUCGCGCGAUUGGAGCGGCCGAUGUCAGAUUAGGUAGUUGGUGGGGUAAAGGCUCACCAAGCCAACGAUCUGUAGCUGGUCUGAGAGGACGACCCGCCACACUGGGACUGAGACACGGCCCAGACUCCUACGGGAGGCAGCAGUGGGGAAUUUUGGACAAUGGGCGCAAGCCUGAUCCAGCAAUGCCGCGUGCAGGAAGAAGGCCUUCGGGUUGUAAACUGCUUUUGUACGGAACGAAAAGGUCUGGGUUAAUACCCUGGGCACAUGACGGUACCGUAAGAAUAGGCACCGGCUAACUACGUGCCAGCCGCCGCGGUAA